UCGGACCUGCUGUCGGAGAGAAAGGGGCCAGGGCUUAAGGCUCAAGCUCUGAGGGCGGUGCUUCUCGGGCUGAGGGGUGGGGCUUAGGGAGGAGCCUAUGCUGGUGGGGGCAGGGCCUGGGUGGAGGAGGAGCCUGAGGAGGGGUUUGGGUGGAACAGCUGAGCCAGAGACGGGUCCAAGGAGAGGAAGCCCUGGGGUUGAGUUUGUCCAAUGAGCAACGAGGGGGCAGAAGGCGGGGCCUCAGAAAUUCUAGAACCAGUGAAGCUGGGUGGAAGAUUGGGAAGAUGACACUGAAAAACAGGGGUGUGGGUUUAUGGUUGGGGCCCUGCUGGUUGGGGUGGGGAGAUAAGAAAAAAGUUUUUUGAGUAUUUUCCUCAAUCAAAUCUUAUGUCUUAGUCUUUUAAGAAGCACAAAAUGGUGGACUAAUGGUAAGAACUCUGAGAAACCAUAGAAGAAAGACUAAUGAAAGAAAGCAACGUGGAGAGCAGAUUCUGUGGUAACAAAGAUGACAGAUUAAGACCAACACAAGAAGGGGAUGAUUAGGAGCAAGGCAGCUGCUUUCCAGAAGUCCUGACGCCUGGAGUUCCUUCCAGGCAGAGACGCCAGGGAGGAACAUCCAGUGAGACCAUUUGGAUGAGCACACGCACGAUCGACUAACCUCACAGACUUGGAUCAAACUCUGCGGCAGAAGCAACAGGUUGAAUUGUCUUCCCCAAGAUUCAGAUGUUGGAAGUCCCAACUCAGAGUGGAUAUUUGAAGAUAGGGUCUUUAAAGAGGCGAUUAAGUUAAUAUGAGGUCAUGCACGUGAGCCCUAUGCCCUGUAAUUGUUCUGAUAAGACGAGGUGAUCAGGACACAGACACAUACAGAGGGAAGAGCUUGUGAAGACACAGGGAGAAGAUUCCCAUCUACAAGCCAAGCAGAGAGGCUUCAGAAGGAAGUUAACCCUGCCAACAGCUUGGACUUCCAGCCUCUGCAAUUUGAAGGACGGAGGAGCCUGGCAUGCUACAGUCCAUGGGGAGUCGGGCACGAGUUAGAAACUGAACAGCAACAGAUGAGUCUCAGUCUCACACACACUGGAGGAUGCACUGCUUUAGCCCAGUGGGUCUCAACCCUAGCUGCUUCAUAGAAUCACCUGGGAGCUUUUCAAAGGCCUGGGGCAGGGCCUCUUAUUCAUUCUUCUUAAGAGCACUCAGGAUAAUACUGUGCUGGGUCUUCGUUGCUGCUCGGGCUGCUCAUUGUGGAGGCUUCUCUUGUUGCGAAGCACAGUCGUUGUAGUUUCUGGACUCUGGAGUACAGGGGAGAAGUAUCUAGAAUAAAACUGCAGAACAGGACAGUGGAGACUGUUUACCCAGGCCAAGGUUGACUUCUGGAGCAGCGUGAAGGUGAGAUGAGGGUGCUUGUUGGUGAAGUGACUGGUUCACAUAGGUGUCGCGUCAUCUGUGAAAGAAAUGAAAGGGAAGUUGGCCUUGACCUGGUGGGUCUUGAGAAGGAGCUCUGCUUGUGGUUUAAAAUCAAGUCUUGUUUUUCUUCUUCUGUUGUGUUGUGCUCCUUGUGGCUGGUUUGAUGAGGUCCUACUGAGAGUUGGGGAAAUGGAUUAGGUAGUUGAGCCCUGCAUCCUUUCUCCUCCAUUUCCCUAGUGCUUCAAAAGAGUAACCCAUUUCAUGGACUAGGAGUUUCAGAUGCAGAUUACAGACUCCGUAUUGUAGACUAUCAAUAAGUGUGUCCUUAGCUUGACCCUGGUAGAAGGCUGUCACUCUGAUUGCAAAGCCUGGAGCUGCCAACCCGGUCAGGGGGGCCCCACCUCCCCCCAACUCCUCUAAAAUUUCCCUGGUGACAGGAAAUUAUGAUGCAUGUAGACACAACUAGCAUGUACCAGUGUCCAGUUUCCUCCCCUCUGGGCACUCAGAAGAUAUAUAUCAGUUGGGCGGGGCCGUGUGGUUCUGGUCAAUGGGCUGUGAGAGGGAAGGACAUGUGUCCCUUCUUGGGGGAGGCAUCCAACAGCAGGUGCAUGGCAGCUGAGGAGACAGUGUGGCCUGUGGAGAAGCUCCAGAAUAGGGCAGCCUCCUUGCUUGAUUCCCGAGUGCUUGAAGGGAGCAGGGCCUUGCCACUCCCCAGUCCUCAUGGGUUAUGAACAUGAGUGAGAAAGAAACUUGUGUGAAGCCAUUGUGAUUUUGGGGGUGUUUCGAUAGCCUAACUUGGCCCACUUAAUCAGUGCAGGGUCCCUCCCCUGGAGGACAGCCUACGGUGCUCCGGCCAUGUCCGGCCCAAGCAUGCUUCUCCAAGUCGUGGUGAGACUGAGACACUGUGCAUUUUGCUAGGCGCGUGCCUCUGGGUUUCUGCUUUGUGUCUCCUCUGUAUGUCAUACCUGGCGUUUGUCCUUGCCCUCUACUCGCUAGAGAAGCAAUAGCAUUACCUUUCUUUGUUUUUUCCUUCCCCCCAAAAUUAUUAUUAUUUUUUUGGCUGCAGUGCGCAGCUUGCAACACCUUAGUGUGGCAUGUGGGAUCCCCAACCAGUGAUUAAACCCAUGCUGUGCACAGCAGAAAUGCGGAGUCUUAACCACUGGGAAGUCCCUAAACAUUAAUUUUUUAUUUUUUUAUCAAGGUAACAUGAGUAUGUAGUUAAAAAAUUAAAAUUGGAAAGUAUCACACCCAGUGCCAGAAUCCAACUCUCUGGAGUCAAACAUCGUAAACUCUGUCUUCCUUUGGGCAUUUUCUACUGUAUUUUUAAAAAAGCUGUUUAAAAUGCUGUUUCUUUCUCUCCCCCCCACCCAGGUUUAUUGUGAUCUAUUGACAUACAUCACUUUAUAAGCUUCAAGUGUACACCAUGAUGGUUUGACUUACAUGUAUUAUGCAAUAUAUUCUCAAUUAAAAUUUUUUUUCAACAUUGUC